UACGGGGGGGGUAAGCGUUGUUCGGAAUUACUGGGCGUAAAGGGCUCGUAGGCGGCCAACUAAGUCAGACGUGAAAUCCCUCAGCUUAACUGGGGAACUGCGUCUGAUACUGGAUGGCUUGGAUUCGGGAGAGGAAUGCGGAAUUCCAGGUGUAGCGGUGAAAUGCGUAGAUAUCUGGAGGAACACCGGUGGCGAAGGCGGCAUCCUGGACCAAUUCUGACACUGAGGAGCGAAAGCCAGGGGAGCAAACGGG
rnacentral:rRNA from 1 species